UAUAUACUCCCAAAAAUAUUUGUCAUUAAAAUAGAUAAAAAUGGAUGUAUCUAGAACUAAAAUAUGUCUAGAUACAUCCUCUUUUGUUCAUUUUGAUGAUAAGUAUUUCCGGACGGAGGGAGUACUAU
rnacentral:pre_miRNA from 1 species